GAUGAACGCUGGCGGCGUGCUUAACACAUGCAAGUCGAGCGAGUGAGCUCUUCGGAACGAUCUAGCGGCGGACGGGUGAGUAACACGUGGGCAACCUGCCUCAUAGAGGGGAAUAGCCUCCCGAAAGGGAGAUUAAUACCGCAUAAAAUUAUCGAGUGGCAUCACAUGAUAAUCAAAGGAGUAAUCCGCUAUGAGAUGGGCCCGCGGCGCAUUAGCUAGUUGGUGAGGUAACGGCUCACCAAGGCGACGAUGCGUAGCCGACCUGAGAGGGUGAUCGGCCACAUUGUGACAGGCACACGUCCCAGACUCCUACGGGAGGCAGCAGUGAGGAAUAUUGCACAAUGGGCGCAAGCCUGCUGCAGCACCGCCGCGUGAGGGAUGACGGCCUUCGGGUUGUAGACCUCUUUUAGUAGGGAAGAAGCGAAAGUGACGGUACCUGCAGAAAAAGCACCGGCUAACUACGUGCCAGCAGCCGCGGUAA
rnacentral:rRNA from 1 species